AUUGAACGCUGGCGGCAGGCUUAACACAUGCAAGUCGAACGAGUGGCGGACGGGUGAGUAAUGCUUGGGAAUCUAGCUUAUGGAGGGGGAUAACUACGGGAAACUGUAGCUAAUACCGCAUACCCUAGGCUGAGCCCAAGUGGGAUGAGGUAUUUGGUGGGGUAAAGGCUCACAAGGCCGACGAUCUCUAGCUGGUCGGAGAGGAUGACCAGCAACACUGGGACUGAGACACGGCCCAGACUCUUACGGGAGGCAGCAGUGGGGAAUAUUGCGAAAUGGGGGCAACCUGACGCAGCAAUGCCGCGUGAAUGAAGAAGUCCUUCGGGUGGUAAAGUUCUUUCUGUAGCGAGGCGUUAACUACAGAAGAAGCACCGGCUAACUCCGUGCCAGCAGCCGCGGUAAUAC
rnacentral:rRNA from 1 species